UACGGAGGGGGCUAGCGUUGUUCGGAAUUACUGGGCGUAAAGGGCGCGUAGGCGGCCUUCUACGUCGAACGUGAAAUCCCCGGGCUCAACCCGGGAACUGCGUCCGAUACUGGAAGGCUUGAAUCCGGGAGAGGGAUGUGGAAUUCCAGGUGUAGCGGUGAAAUGCGUAGAUAUCUGGAGGAACACCGGUGGCGAAGGCGACAUCCUGGACCGGUAUUGACGCUGAGGCGCGAAAGCCAGGGGAGCAAACGGG
rnacentral:rRNA from 1 species